rnacentral:misc_RNA from 1 species
UACGGAGGGUGCGAGCGUUAAUUGGAAUUACUGGGCGUAAAGCGCGCGUAGGUGGUGAAGUCAGUCAGAUGUGACAGCCUAGGGCUUAACCUUGGAAUUGCACCUGAUACUGCUUCUCUAGAGUAUGGUAGAGGGGUGUGGAAUUUCCUGUGUAGCGGUGAAAUGCGUAGAUAUAGGAAGGAACACCAGUGGCGAAGGCGACACCCUGGACCAAUACUGACACUGAGGUGCGAAAGUGUGGGUAGCAAACAGG